UUAAUUUUCUCUUACUGCAUAUUUUCUUAUAAACGUGUGCUUUUUGGUAAUCACAUGGACAUUUGUCUUUCAGAGUUAGGAGAAUUAGCCCUUGGAGCCCUUAACACCAGGAUGGCUCAAACAUGGAAUGCACUUCAGCAAGCACAGAUUCUAUCUGACCAGAGCCCGGAAAAUUCUAUUGGAACUAUGGACUGUAAUGGAAUGCCAGUGGAAUCGGACGAAAGCUUUGCUCAUGAGAUAGAAGAGUUAAUUGAGAAGGAGAACUUUUCAAGCAUGAUGGAUUUGCAAGACAUUGCUGACUCAGACAUAAAAGACUUGGAGUCUGGUUCUCUGCACAACACAUGCUAUGAAUCAUCUUGGCAAGAUGUUAUGAGUUCAGAUGACCUUGAACAAGAUAAGCCAGGGGAUAAAGGAGAAAAUAAUGGUAACAUGAUACCCUGUCCCUUGCCUAACUCAGUAGAGGUUGAAUCCAUACUGGAAGCACAUUCUGACGAGGCAAUAUUAGAACCUGCCUUUGAGACAAAUAAUAGUCUUGUCGAAUAUUCAGAUAUUAGCAGCUGCUCUGACACAGAAGGAAAUUUUGAUUUCAAUUUGAGUUCAUCCAUUGAUGUUAACAUGGGUAGCAACCAGGCUGGUAGGCCUUCAGAGGAAGGAGACCUGAAUUCAAGUAUGCACUUAUCUUCUGCUGAGGUCUGCCAUAGUAUUGUGGAAGCAGGUAUGAGUGAAAUCAAUCAACACCAGGACACUGGACCUCCAGUGACCACAGGUGAAAGCAAUGAAAGUGUAAACCAUACUGGCAGUGACUGUAGUGAGGGGUCCCUUCUUACAAAUGCUGAAGUUCCAUCUACAGAAGUACAAGGUUUGGACAGUAUGAAUGGUGCAGUGCUUUUGUCAAAAGAUGGGCAAACCGAGGAAAGGGAAAUGACUUGUGAUUUGGAAUAUUUUUUGGAUCACUGCAAAGAGCUUGGUACCUCUCAGGAUGGUUCCAACUGUGCCUCAAAUGAUGCAAAUAUUGAUACUUCAUUGACUUCUAAUGGGGAUGAAAACAUUUGCCCAACCAUAGAUUCACUAAGUUUUUGCCAACUGGAAAGGACAACCCCAGAUGCUGAAAACACAUCAUCAAAGCCUGAACUUGAAAAGACAUUUGUGAUUUAUGGUGAUGGAAAAGGUCCACUUGGUGAUUACCAAUUAGAUGUAAUGAACCCACAUCCUGAAAAUACAUCCUCAGAGCCCAACUUUCAAGAAACAGUUCUGAUAUCUGGCAUUGGAAAAGAUUCUCUUG
ensembl:lncRNA